rnacentral:misc_RNA from 1 species
AAGUCGUAACAAGGUUUCCGUAGGUGAACCUGCGGAAGGAUCAUUAUUGAUUUUAGCUAACCUGGCUAUUUUAGUCACGGUUAUGCGAAAUUUUGUAUUUAAAACCCCACUCUUUAUAAUAAAAUUUAUUAUAUUUAUGAUAAAAAUAAGAUCACUUUCAACAACGGAUCUCUUGGCUCUC